rnacentral:rRNA from 1 species
UACAGAGGGUGCAAGCGUUGCUCGGAAUUACUGGGCGUAAAGGGCGCGUAGGCGGCACUGUUAGUCAGGCGUGAAAGUCCUGGGCUCAACCUGGGAACUGCGCUUGAUACGGCAGAGCUAGAGGAUGGAAGAGGGUCGCGGAAUUCCCAGUGUAGAGGUGAAAUUCGUAGAUAUUGGGAAGAACACCGGUGGCGAAGGCGGCGACCUGGUCCAUUACUGACGCUGAUGCGCGAAAGCGUGGGUAGCAAACAGG